AAGAAAGUAUUAGGUUGUUGCAAAAGUAACUGUGGUUUUUGCCAUUAAAAGUAAUUAAUGGCGAAAACCGCAAUUACUUCUGCAACGACCUACUACUGCAA
rnacentral:miRNA from 1 species